AAUUUUCUAAUUUUUACUUUUGAAAUCAAUUUAAACCUAAAAACGAACAUGUUAAACCAAUUCGUUGGUCAAGUUUGGGCCGUAAGAAGGCAGCAAUAAAAGCCCGGCCCAAUUAGUGGCCCAAAUUCAUUGUAGUUUGGGUCUCGGUUCGAUUCCAACGGGAGAUAGACCUUUGUGAGUCGCAAAGCAAAGCGAAUUCCAUCUCUUGGCGCGGCCAUGGCGUCGUUUGGCUCUCUGAAGAAUGCCAUCUUCGAAAGAGAAGAGAGAAAACAGCAGUAUCAGGCGCAUGUGCGAGGGCUCAAUGCUCACGAUCGCCGCAAGAAGUUUAUGCGUGAGUAUGGUGUGAUUGCUACUGUGUUAUUCAGUGUGUAACUUUUUGUGGAAUUAAUGAGCAUUUGCGAGGGAAACCAUUGGAGUUGUGAUUGUGGCUUAACUAUACGUUGUUUUAUUUGAAUGUUUUUGGCGUAUGAUCUUUUAUUAUAUCACGAAGAUCUGUUACUAGCACUGGGGGCGAUGAUUGAAUGUUGUUGUUUAGCUUUGAGCUCAUUUGGAUUUUGUCUAUAGCGGUUGCAAAUGGGAUAGAGUGAUAGGAAUUGUUAAACACAGUACAUUUAGUUAGCUUAUAAGGUUAUUAGCUGACGGACGGACGUGAAGGAUGCUUGCAAAUAUUGAGCCCCUUAUUUGCAUAUCCUGGAGUCCUAAAGCAAAAGAAUGAUGAACAGUUUCCCUCACUAAGAUGACAGGAGGCUACAAUCAUCCUAACAUUUUGGUGCAAGAGAUUUUUCUGUUAGCCUCAAGAUUAGUUACUUUUAAAUAUUUGAAUUGUGGAUUUGUUGCAGUUCAUUUCUACGGGAAAAAUCAAUCUAUUGAAGAGAAAUUUCCUAUUAAGACUGAUCAAGACACCUUGAGGGACGGCUACCAGUUUAAUCCCACUAUUCUUUCCAAUCAUGAUGGAAUGCCAUUUUAUCAUUCAUAGAGAUGCAAAUGAUGGAAUGCCAAAUUAAAUAAUUAAUUAGAAUAUGAAUAUAUAAUCGUUAAAUGCAGUUCUAAUGAAUCCCUAUUUUGCAUGAUUUAGAAUGUACACACAAUAACUUCAUGGUAAAGCAUAAGUGCACUCAUAAUCAAUUUGAUCAUUGUGUGUAUUUUCGGUUCCUUGAUGAUGACUUGUUUAUCUACUUGGGCUUGUAUGUUAGGUGACAUGUCGAUUGCUUCCAAGGGACAAGUGGAGAUUGAUAAGCGUCGAUCCACUAGUGGUUAUCCGUUCACCAUGGCUGGUGAACCUGUUUGUUGGCGUUCAAUAUUGCAAUCCACUAUUGAAUUGUCUAACACCAAAACAGAGUAUAUGACAAUCACGGUAGCUUUUAAAGAAGCUAUUUGGAUCCAUGAUUUGGUUAAUGACUUGGGCAUUUCUCAAUAACACGUAGAUGCGUUUUGUGAUAACUAGAGUGCUAUUUGUUUGUCGAAGAACCAAAUCUAUUAUGCUCAUACCAAAUAUAUUAAUGUCCGAUUUCAUUCUAUUCAAGAAAUUAGCAAUGAAGGGGAUAUUGGUUUAUUGAAAAUUGGAACGGUUGAUAAUCCUAUGGAUAUGUUGACAAAAAUGAUCGCUCGUGAAAAGUUUUAGCAUUGUUUAGAUUUGAUCAAGGUUGGACGGAAGAAAUAGCUUGUUGACUUGGUGGCAACCAACCGAUUAUCUGCUUCGGGAUCUUCUGAUAAGCUUCCACUACAACAAUUGAGUAUCAGAGCACCUUUGAUUUGAUUGUGGCAUUAGGGUACAACACAUAUAACCAUAUGCUCAAAGAAGCUUCAUUACAAGAGAAAGAAAGAAAAUGAGAAACAGUGAAGGAUGGAGCAAGAAAUGUCCAAAAGGAAGAGGUACCACUCCAAACUUUAAGGAAAGAAGGCUUCAACAUCAUCAGGGGAUCAUAAAGCUGAUGACAAAAACGACUUUGAUGAAUAUGGGCCUCAAGGCUACACUUCCGGCCUCCACAGGCAGUAUUUUCAGGUAUUUGCUUCCUUGAAACCUUUUCGAAGACGACAAAUGGCAAUUUAUAUCUUAAACAUAAAGCAUCAUGUGCAUGUGGUUGAUUCCCUAAUUGUUUAAUUGAGUUGUAUUGUUGCCUUGUCGUAAUCUAUCUACCUUGUUCUGUUGUAUGAGCUGUUAUGUGCAGCAGGGUUUUUUAGUUCAGAAAAUCCA